UGGCUCAGGAUGAACGCUAGCUACAGGCUUAACACAUGCAAGUCGAGGGGCAUCAGGAAGAAAGCUUGCUUUCUUUGCUGGCGACCGGCGCACGGGUGAGUAACACGUAUCCAACCUGCCCUUUACUCGGGGAUAGCCUUUCGAAAGAAAGAUUAAUACCCGAUAGCAUAAUGAUUCCGCAUGGUUUCAUUAUUAAAGGAUUCCGGUAAAGGAUGGGGAUGCGUUCCGUUAGGUUGUUGGUGAGGUAACGGCCCGCCAAGCCUUCGAUGGAUAGGGGUUCUGAGAGGAAGGUCCCCCACAUUGGAACUGAGACACGGUCCAAACUCCUACGGGAGGCAGCAGUGAGGAAUAUUGGUCAAUGGGCGCUAGCCUGAACCAGCCAAGUAGCGUGAAGGAUGAAGGCUCUAUGGGUCGUAAACUUCUUUUAUAUAAGAAUAAAGUGCAGUAUGUAUACUGUUUUGUAUGUAUUAUAUGAAUAAGGAUCGGCUAACUCCGUGCCAGCAGCCGCGGUAAUACGGAGGAUCCGAGCGUUAUCCGGAUUUAUUGGGUUUAAAGGGAGCGUAGGUGGACUGGUAAGUCAGUUGUGAAAGUUUGCGGCUCAACCGUAAAAUUGCAGUUGAUACUGUCAGUCUUGAGUACAGUAGAGGUGGGCGGAAUUCGUGGUGUAGCGGUGAAAUGCUUAGAUAUCACGAAGAACUCCGAUUGCGAAGGCAGCUCACUGGACUGCAACUGACACUGAUGCUCGAAAGUGUGGGUAUCAAACAGGAUUAGAUACCCUGGUAGUCCACACAGUAAACGAUGAAUACUCGCUGUUUGCGAUAUACAGUAAGCGGCCAAGCGAAAGCAUUAAGUAUUCCACCUGGGGAGUACGCCGGCAACGGUGAAACUCAAAGGAAUUGACGGGGGCCCGCACAAGCGGAGGAACAUGUGGUUUAAUUCGAUGAUACGCGAGGAACCUUACCCGGGCUUAAAUUGCAGUGGAAUGAUGUGGAAACAUGUCAGUGAGCAAUCACCGCUGUGAAGGUGCUGCAUGGUUGUCGUCAGCUCGUGCCGUGAGGUGUCGGCUUAAGUGCCAUAACGAGCGCAACCCUUAUCUUUAGUUACUAACAGGUUAUGCUGAGGACUCUGGAGAGACUGCCGUCGUAAGAUGUGAGGAAGGUGGGGAUGACGUCAAAUCAGCACGGCCCUUACGUCCGGGGCUACACACGUGUUACAAUGGGGGGUACAGAAGGCAGCUAGCGGGUGACCGUAUGCUAAUCCCAAAAGCCUCUCUCAGUUCGGAUCGAAGUCUGCAACCCGACUUCGUGAAGCUGGAUUCGCUAGUAAUCGCGCAUCAGCCACGGCGCGGUGAAUACGUUCCCGGGCCUUGUACACACCGCCCGUCAAGCCAUGGGAGCCGGGGGUACCUGAAGUACGUAACCGCAAGGAUCGUCCUAGGGUAAAAC
rnacentral:rRNA from 1 species